CGCCACCUCUUCCACUUCCUCGACGACCAGGAAGACACGUUGUGCCUUGAGGCGAACCGAGGGGUAAUGGAGAGCCACGGCUGACGAAAUCACCUCCAAAUCCGGGACAUGUUCUGGUGUGUGACAUAUGGCAACAACUAAUCCAGAGGCCAGUUGAGCCGCGCCCCAAAGUUCAACGCCAACCGCUUCAACCAGAGUGUCCUCUCGACAAGGCAUGACCAAGGCAGGCCCGUUUGAGUCAGGACCGAGAGCGGCAACUGCAGCAGAAGGCAAGCCAUGAGGGACCACGGGCUGCUGAAGGAACCCCGUUCUUGGAUUCGAACUAUCAGAUGAGCCAGCCGGUUCAAAGAAACCAGCUUCUCCGCUGAGGGCAUUUCAAGAGCGUCACUGUGGAAACAUGACAAAUGAGAAAAUGGUGAGUAUUGAACUUGUAAAGGAGAAAAAUGUCGUCCUUGCCUCUCCUGGAUGACUACUUUCAGGAAAAAAAAACUAAUUACCGACCCAAACAAAAUCUUGCUUGAGCUAUUAAAAAUCACAUCUAUAUGUGUAAAAUACAUCAUUGAUAUAUGUUAUCAAAAUAGGGUCUCAAAUAUUCUUGUAUAAAGUACCUGAAAGCUAUCCACCAUAUUUGUGGGGGCUCACCAGGAGAAUCAAGUUCAAUUAAGAGAGGAGUUUGUGUGUUGCCUAAUGAGCGAGCUAGCUAGCUAUCACGGCAAACCCGUAUGUCUGAGAGUGACAGUCGGCAUGUAAAUAUGUAACAGAAUAUUCACAAAAACAAUGCUGCAUCACCAAAACAAACAAGCACCUAUACCGUCUGUCCAUUUUGUUGUUGUUUUUUUUAAAUCCCAGCACCGGUGUCAAACUCAAGGACCGCGGGCCAGAUCCAGACCGCCAUGUCAUUUUAUGUGGCCCGUGAAAGCAAAUUAUGUGUGUCAACCUCCAUCAUCCUUGCUCAAAUCUGGACCGAAACGUCCUGUUGUCAUAUGUAAUAAAUAACAUUGAGAUUUUGCAAU